rnacentral:rRNA from 1 species
AAUAGAUACCCGGGUAGUCCACGCCGUAAACGAUGAGUGCUAGGUGUUAGGGGGUUUCCACCCCUUAGUGCUGCAGCUAACGCAUUAAGCACUCCGCCUGGGGAGUACGGUCGCAAGACUGAAACUCAAAGGAAUUGACGGGGGCCCGCACAAGCGGUGGAGCAUGUGGUUUAAUUCGAAGCAACGCGAAGAACCUUACCAGGUCUUGACAUCCCGCUGACCGCCAUGGAGACAUGGCUUUCCCUUCGGGGACAGCGGUGACAGGUGGUGCAUGGUUGUCGUCAGCUCGUGUCGUGAGAUGUUGGGUUAAGUCCCGCAACGAGCGCAACCCUUGUCCUUAGUUGCCAUCAUUCAGUUGGGCACUCUAAGGAGACUGCCGUACAAAUACGGAGGAAGGUGGGGAUGACGUCAAAUCAUCAUGCCCCUUAUGACCUGGGCUACACACGUGCUACAAUGGGCAGUACAAAGGGCUGCGAACCCGCGAGGGGGAGCCAAUCCCAAAAAGCUGCUCUCAGUUCGGAUUGCAGGCCGCAAC